rnacentral:rRNA from 1 species
GAUGAACGCUGGCGGCGUGCCUAAUACAUGCAAGUCGAGCGAACAGACGAGGAGCUUGCUCCUCUGACGUUAGCGGCGGACGGGUGAGUAACACGUGGAUAACCUACCUAUAAGACUGGGAUAACUUCGGGAAACAGGAGCUAAUACCGGAUAAUAUAUUGAACCGCAUGGUUCAAUAGUGAAAGACGGUUUUGCUGUCACUUAUAGAUGGAUCCGCGCCGCAUUAACUAGUUGGUAAGGUAACGGCUUACCAAGGCGACGAUGCGUAGCCGACCUGAGAGGGUGAUCGGCCACACUGGAACUGAGACACGGUCCAGACUCCUACGGGAGGCAGCAGUAGGGAAUCUUCCGCAAUGGGCGAAAGCCUGACGGAGCAACGCCGCGUGAGUGAUGAAGGUCUUCGGAUCGUAAAACUCUGUUAUUAGGGAAGAACAAAUGUGUAAGUAACUAUGCACGUCUUGACGGUACCUAAUCAGAAAGCCACGGCUAACUACGUG